AGAAAAGGGUCAGACAGGGAGACACAAUUUCUCCAAAGCUAUUCACUGCGUGCUUAGAAGAAUUCAAGCUAUUAAACUGAGAAGGCUUAGGACUAAAGAUCGAUGGCAAAUAUCUCAGCAACCUUCGGUUUGCCGAUGACAUUGUUGUAUUCAACAACGAUGCAGACGAGUUACAACAAAUGAUUUCAGACCUUAACAGAGAGAGUGUAAGAGUGGGGUUGAAUAUUAAUAUGCAGAAGUUGAAGAUAAUGAUAAAUAGCCGGGCAAAGGAACAAGAGAUCAGGAUCUCCAGUCGGCCACUGGAGACUGUGAAGGAGUACGUUUACCUAGGUCAACUAAUCACAGGGAACCCUGAUCAUGAGAAGGGAAUUCACAGAAGAAUAAAAAUUGGUUGGAUCGCAUACGGCAGACAUUGCCAGCUCCUGGCUGGAAGCUUACGAUUAUUAUUGAAAAGUAAGGUGUGCAAUCAGUGCAUUUUGCCAGUGCUGACAUAUGGGGCAGAGACUUGAGAGCAAGUUAAGGACCGCGCAAAGAGCGAUCGAACGAAGAUUGCUAGGCAUAACGUUAAGAGAGAGAAAGAGAGCGGUUUGGAUCAGAGAGCGAACGGGUAUAGACGAUAUUCUAAUUGACAUCAAGAGGAAAAAAUGUAGCUGGGCAGGUCAUGUAAUGCGCCGGUUAGAUAACCGUUGGACCAUUAGGUUUACAGAAUGGGUUUCAAGAGAAGGAAAACGCAAUCGAGAACGACAAAGACUAGGUGGAGCGAUGAAAUUAGGAAAUUCGUGGGCGCUAGUUGGGAUCGGUUAGCGCAGGACAGGGGUAAUUGGAGAUCGCAGGGAGAGGCCUUCGUCCUGCAGUGGACAUAAAACAUGAUGAUGAUGAUGAUGAUGAUGAUGAUGAUGGAGGUAGUGGGCCCCCCCCCCGAAAAAAAAUCCUGGGUACGUGCCUGUAUAUAUCCAAGUGCUCGGACUGUUUAUAUUAAAACCGCAGCUUUCAUUAUUCAGACGACUGGGCACAAUAUGUUACCUUUAUACGCACGAAAACUGUACAGCACUCGUGCCUCAGCAGUAAAAAAACAUUGAGCCGUUCAGCGGUAAGGUAUUCACAUCACUGCAUUGUGAAUAAGGGGAAACACGGCAAAGCUGCCUUGUCCAGCGGGAAUUUUGAAGCAUUUGCAUGCGACGCUGCUCAUUUUCCAGGAGCUCGUUGUCACAUUUAGUGAUGACACCUUUGAUAUGCCAAACACACUGGAAGGAACCGGGCAGUCAUACAGAUCGUUCUUCCUGUUGAAGGCUCGGCCCGCUACCAUUGCCGUAAGGGCGGCUUCGAUGUUUCCUUCGAAUCCCUUAAUACGACGUUUUCAAGACUUUGUGUGCUACCUGGGACUACGUGCACGGCUUGGGUUUCCUCGUGGCUGCACGGCAUCCACGACAAAACACUCAUUCGGGUGACAAAUGUGAGCUCAAGCAACAUUAGGAACAAGCUACAUCGUCUGCAGAUGCAUCAGCCCGUGGAACUGCCUAAGCCAGCUCCCCGAAUCAUGAAGUGAUCAAUGUGUGAUAACACAGUCCCAAAGCAAAUCUCUAGAAGGUGCAUUAGAAACAUUUUGCUUAUGUAGUGGUGUUAUUGAUUUGAUUUAUUAAAAAUUCUUUGAAACCUUUGGCCA